UACGGAGGGUGCAAGCGUUGUUCGGAAUUACUGGGCGUAAAGGGCGCGUAGGCGGUGCAGUAAGUCAGGUGUGAAAGCCCCGGGCUCAACCCAGGAAGUGCAUUUGAAACUGCUGUACUUGAGUAUGGGAGAGGAGAGUGGAAGUCCCAGUGUAGAGGUGAAAUUCGUAGAUAUUGGGAGGAACACCCGUGGCGAAGGCGACUCUCUGGACCAAUACUGACGCUGAGGCGCGAAAGCGUGGGGAGCAAACAGG
rnacentral:rRNA from 1 species